rfam:Chlorocebus sabaeus isolate 1994-021 chromosome 12, whole genome shotgun sequence.
GCCAGGCAUGGUGGCUCACGCCUAUAAUCCCAACACUUUGGGAGGCCGAGGCGGGUGGAUCACCUGAGGUUGGGAGUUCAAGACCAGCCUGGCCAACAUGAUGAAACCCUAUCUGUAGUAAAAAAACAAACAAAAAAUACAAAAAAUUAGCNNNNNNNNNNGCUAAUUUUUUGUAUUUUUUGUUUGUUUUUUUACUACAGAUAGGGUUUCAUCAUGUUGGCCAGGCUGGUCUUGAACUCCCAACCUCAGGUGAUCCACCUGCUUCAG